CCUACGGGUGGCAGCAGUGGGGAAUAUUGGGCAAUGGAGGCAACUCUGACCCAGCCACGCCGCGUGAAUGAUGAAGGUCUUCGGAUUGUAAAGUUCUGUGCUGGGGGGUGAACACAAUGACGGUACCCCAAUAGCACGCCACGGCUAACUACGUGCCAGCAGCCGCGGUAAUACGUAGGUGGCAAGAGUUAUCCGGAAUGGAUGGGCGUAAAGGGUGUGUAGGUGGGUUAGUAAGUUGGCGGUGUAAUUCCGGGGCUCAACCUCGGCGCUACCGCCAAAACUAGUAGACUAGAGUGCAGGAGGGGUAAGCGGAAUUCCUGGUGUAGCGGUGGAAUGCGUAGAUAUUACGAAGAACAUC
rnacentral:rRNA from 1 species